rnacentral:rRNA from 1 species
UACGUAGGGCGCAAGCGUUGUCCGGAAUUAUUGGGCGUAAAGAGCUCGUAGGCGGCUUGUCGCGUCGGAUGUGAAAGCCCGGGGCUUAACCCCGGGUCUGCAUUCGAUACGGGCAGGCUAGAGUUCGGUAGGGGAGAUCGGAAUUCCUGGUGUAGCGGUGAAAUGCGCAGAUAUCAGGAGGAACACCGAUGGCGAAGGCAGGUCUCUGGGCCGAUACUGACGCUGAGGAGCGAAAGCGUGGGGAGCGAACAGG